rnacentral:lncRNA from 1 species
AGCCUGGCUGGUACGUACAUCAGUCUUUUGAUGAUCACUGGGGGCAUCUGGGGCUCUGUCCCACUGGAGACCUGUGGAAGACUGUGUGGAACACUCCUCAGGAGCAAGGAAAACUGAGACAGAGUCUUGCUGUGUCGCCAGCCAGAGUGCAAUGGCACGAUCUCGGUUCACCACAACCUCCGUCCCUUGGGUUCAAGCGAUUCUCCUGCCUCAGCCUCCUGAGUAGCUGGGACUACAGGUGCUCACCACGCCCAGCUAAUUUUUGUAUUUUUAGUAGAGACGGGGUUUCACCAUGUUGGCCAGUAUGGUCUCAAUCUCUUGACCUUGUGAUCCACCCACCUCAGCCCUCCAAAGUGCUGGGAUUACAGGCGUGAGCCACCGCUCCGGGCCAAGACUCUAAUCUUUCUAUAGUGUUUGCUUAACCUAAUUCAUGAUAAUUUAUUUCUGCGAUUUCCAUGUUUUCUUUUUUAAUUGCUACUUUAUUUUACUGAGGGUUUUCCCUGCAUUUUAUCUGAGAGAAUACUUGUGGCCUGUCUUUAAGAAACAGCUUUGAAGUAGAUUUACCAGGUGACUUAAUGGUAAUCCCUGUCUUAGGAAUAAUAUGAUGUAUAUUGUUAAAAUUAACAGUAUAUUCAUUUUAACCUCAAACCUGGGAUAGCCGAAGGACUAAAAUUUCUCUUUGGAGAUAUAUACGUGUAAAACAUAGAGCCUAGACAGAGACAGACAAACUUCCUUGCUAUCUUCCUGUGAUGCUGGGCAAUUUAAAAAUUUAAUCAUCUAUCAAAUGUGUAGACUUUUGAGGGCCCCUGUUCUGCUCCAUUCUCUCAGUUCCCGUUCUUUGUCAUGCAUAGGUUGCAUAGGCCAUGCAUGUCCUCUGUCUCAUCUUGUAAAUACAACCUGAGUUUUGAAAAUACCGGGAGGAAAAGUACAUCGCCUCAGGUUCCACUCACAUGCUUACCCUUUGGUUUUUGGUUUCCAUCUUAUUUCUGGUACCUACAGGUUUCCUUUUCUUUGUUGAAAACGUAGCUAUGCAUUUAAAAUGUUUUGUUAUAUGUUACCAGCCCAUUUUGUUAUAUGCUAACCAUGUUACAUGUUACAUUUAGUUAUUUACACUUUUAGAGUUUCUAGUUAUCUUAAUCAGCCAUCCUGCUAAAAAUUGAAGUUGCAUUUUAUAUAUCUUUAAGAAUCAUUUGGAAAGAUAAUUUAUCUUUUUAAUGGGAAUAACAAUGACUAGCAAGCUUAUUUUGAUAAAAUUAGAUGCUGUUUUGUAUACUGCUAAAAUAUAAUAUUUUUAAAAUGUGCACCACAUAAAAUGUGUGACUGUAUAUUUGUGAUGGCUUUUAAUUUGUA